AGCAGGUGAAGGUAAAGCAGGUGAAGCAGGUGAAGGUAAAGCAGGUGAAGCGGGUGAAGGUAAAGCAGGUGAAGCAGGUGAAGGUAAAGCAGGUGAAGCAGGUGAAGGUAAAGCAGGUGAAGCAGGUGAAGGUAAAGCAGAUGAAGCAGGUGAAGGACGGACUUACCCUCAGCA